CUGAGUGAUCCUGCCAGUAGCAUAUUCCUGUCUCAAAGACUUGCCAUGCAAGUCUUAGUACAAAGAGCCGGUACAGUGAAACUGCAAAUGGCUCAUUAAAUUAGUUAUGGUUCCUUUGAUUGCUCCAACGUCACUUGGAUUGGAUGACUGCAGCAAUGAUAGAGCUAAUACAUGCCAACAAGUGUUGACCUUCAGGGAUGCAUGCAUUUAUUCAGACCCAAAACCCAUGCGGGGUAGGCCUACUCUCAAAUGCUUUUGGUGACCCUAUAACCUCGACAGGUGGCAUGCCAUUCGUGGCGCUGACAGUCUGCCCUAUCAACUUUCAAUGGUACUUUCUGUUCAUUCCAUAGUGACCAAAGGGGAAUCAUGGUUAGAUUCCGGAGAGGAGUCUAAAAAUGGCUAUCACAUCCAAGGAAGGCACCAUUGCGUGCAAAUUACACACUCCCGACUCGGCGAGUUAGUGGCGAAAAAUAACAAAAUAGGACUCUUUCGAGGCAAUGUAAUUGGAAUGACUACAUUUUAAAUCUUUUAAUUCAUGAGGAUCCAUGACUGAUGUUUAGAAGUUGCAUUUUAGAGCAGUCAGAAACUUCUGAAAGUGUCAUUAUUUAUGUU
rnacentral:ncRNA from 1 species